AGAACCUCCCCCGAUCCUGCGUGUCCCGUGCUCCUCUCCGAGACCCCGGUCGCCCCAGCGUCCGCAGCAGUCCUGGAAAAAUGUUUAUUUGUGUAGCAAAGCAGGGAGCGGGGCGGCGGGGCUACUUCUUCUUUUUCUUGGCCGCCUUGAGCUUCCCCUCGAUUAGCCGCUGCGCCUGCCUCUUGAUCUCGGCGCGCGAAGGGACGUAGCUGUGGUCCAUGUCGGGGAACUGGAAGGUGUCUGCGGGCGGAGGCGGCGGCUCGCACACGGGGCUAGCCCAGCUAGGCGCAGCCGCCCGACCCGCCUCUCGCCCCCGCCCUCCACCGACCCGGGCCAGGUGCCUUGCCCCAGGGACAGCCCCAGCGUGCCGGGAGGACUCAGCCCAGCCCAUUCGCAGCGGCUCACGCUGCCCUGCCUAGCCUUUCCCGCAGAACCCCCAGUGGAAGCUCCGGCCCAGGCCUUCACCGCGCUCCUCCCUGCUCCAGCCCUGGUGCCUCUCCUCCGGGCCCGUCUGGCAUGGCAUGCCUCCUCCUUUCGGAGAAAUUAACAAGGGCAAAGCCCCCUUCAGCCGUGCAGACACUCUGAACGGGAGCCUGUCAGCUUUGAGGGGACGUGGGCUGUGCAGGUUCCUCCCAGCCCGGGGCUACCUCCUCGGUCCUGGACACCAUCUGCACUCUGUCAGCCAGCAUGUCUGUCAUUUUCUUCUCAACGGACUUGAAGCUGCAGAAGGCAAUAGGGACACAGCAGUGAGGGGCACAGGCCCGAGAGCCAUGGUGGGCCACCCAGGAGCCCAGUCCUGAGUUGGGUGCUGUGCCAGAAUCAGGGACUCAGAAGCUCAGCUCCAGGUUCUCCUCCGUGUUCCUCUGGGCCAGGAAGCGGCUAGUGAUGUCCUGGCCAGUCCGGGGGAGAGAGAAGCAGGUGUGGGCCAG
rnacentral:lncRNA from 10 species